CGAAAUGCGAUAAAUAAUGUGAAUUGCAGAAUUCCGUGAAUCAUCGAGUUUUUGAACGCACAUUGCA
rnacentral:rRNA from 1 species